CCUACGGGGGGCAGCAGUGAGGAAUAUUGGUCAAUGGACGAGAGUCUGAACCAGCCAAGUCGCGUGAAGGAUGACUGCUCUAUGGGUUGUAAACUUCUUUUAUACGGGAAUAAACCGAUCUACGCGUGGGUGUCUGUAAGUAUCAUACGAAUAAGGAUCGGCUAACUCCGUGCCAGCAGCCGCGGUAAUACGGAGGAUCCGAGCGUUAUCCGGAUUUAUUGGGUUUAAAGGGUGCGUAGGUGGAUUGUUAAGUUAGUUGUGAAAGUUUGCGGCUCAACCGUAAAAUUGCAGUUGAUACUGGUAGUCUUGAGAACAGUAGAGGUAGGCGGAAUUCGUGGUGUAGCGGUGAAAUGCUUAGAGAUCACAAAGAACACCGAUUGCGAAGGCAGUUUACUGAGCUGCAACUGACACUGAGGCUCGAAAGUGUGGGUAUCAAACAGGAUUAGAUACCCUGGUAGUC
rnacentral:rRNA from 1 species